GACGAACGCUGGCGGCGUGCUUAACACAUGCCAGUCGAACGGAAAGGCCCUGCUUUUGUGGGGAGCUCGAGUGGCGAACGGGUGAGUAACACGUGAGUAACCUGCCCUUGACUUUGGGAUAACUUCAGGAAACUGGGGCUAAUACCGGAUAGGAGCUCCUGCUGCAUGGUGGGGGUUGGAAAGUUUCGGCGGUUGGGGAUGGACUCGCGGCUUAUCAGCUUGUUGGUGGGGUAGUGGCUUACCAAGGCUUUGACGGGUAGCCGGCCUGAGAGGGUGACCGGCCACAUUGGGACUGAGAUACGGCCCAGACUCCUACGGGAGGCAGCAGUGGGGAAUAUUGCACAAUGGGCGGAAGCCUGAUGCAGCAACGCCGCGUGCGGGAUGACGGCCUUCGGGUUGUAAACCGCUUUCGCCUGUGACGAAGCGUGAGUGACGGUAAUGGGUAAAGAAGCACCGGCUAACUACGUG
rnacentral:rRNA from 1 species